rnacentral:rRNA from 1 species
CGGGCGGGCUUAACCAAUGCCAAGUCGAGCGGUAACAGGAAUUAGCUUGCUAAUUUGCUGACGAGCGGCGGACGGGUGAGUAACGCGUAGGAAUCUGCCUGGUAGUGGGGGACAACAUGUGGAAACGCAUGCUAAUACCGCAUACGCCCUACGGGGGAAAGGAGGGGAUCUUCGGACCUUUCGCUAUCAGAUGAGCUCCGUGUGAGAUUAGCUAGUUGGUGGGGUAAAGGCUCACCAAGGCGACGAUCUCUAGCUGGUCUGAGAGGAUGAUCAGCCACACUGGGACUGAGACACGGCCCAGACUCCUACGGGAGGCAGCAGUGGGGAAUAUUGGACAAUGGGGGGAACCCUGAUCCAGCCAUGCCGCGUGUGUGAAGAAGGCCUUAGG